UACGUAGGGGGCAAGCGUUGUCCGGAUUUAUUGGGCGUAAAGAGCGUGUAGGCGGCCUGACAGGUCUGCUGUGAAAACUCGAGGCUCAACCUCGAGAUGGCGGCGGAAACCGUCUGGCUAGAGUCCGGAAGAGGAGAGUGGAAUUCCUGGUGUAGCGGUGAAAUGCGCAGAUAUCAGGAAGAACACCUAUGGCGAAGGCAGCUCUCUGGGACGGUCUGACGCUGAGACGCGAAAGCGUGGGGAUCAAACAGG
rnacentral:rRNA from 1 species